GCCGGGAAGAGCAAGAAACGAGUGUGUAAGAACAGUGGGAAUGAAAACAUCAAGGAAAGACUAGCUAGCACACUGGUUUCCUCCUGUGAAGGGGAAAACUUGGUGCGGUGUUUCCUGAUGCCUCUCAUUCCUGUUGUUCUUGCGUGCUCCUUCCUUUUCCUUUUGGCU
rnacentral:pre_miRNA from 1 species